CGUAGGUGGCAAGCGUUGUCCGGAAUUAUUGGGCGUAAAGCGCGCGCAGGCGGUUCCUUAAGUCUGAUGUGAAAGCCCCCGGCUCAACCGGGAAGGUCAUUGGAAACUGGGGAACUUGAGUGCAGAAGAGAGGAGCGGAAUUCCACGUGUAGCGGUGAAAUGCGUAGAGAUGUGGAGGAACACCAGUGGCGAAGGCGGCUCUUUGGUCUGUAACUGACGCUGAGGCGCGAAAGCGUGGGGAGCAAACAGGAUUAGAUACCCUGGUAGUCCACGCCGUAAACGAUGAGUGCUAAGUGUUAGAGGGUUUCCGCCCUUUAGUGCUGCAGCUAACGCAUUAAGCACUCCGCCUGGGGAGUACGGCCGCAAGGCUG
rnacentral:rRNA from 1 species